UACGUAGGGACCAAGCGUUGUUCGGAUUUACUGGGCGUAAAGGGCGCGUAGGCGGCUUAACAAGUCACUUGUGAAAUCUCCGGGCUUAACUCGGAACGGCCAAGUGAAACUGUCAAGCUAGAGUGCAGAAGGGGCAAUCGGAAUUCUUGGUGUAGCGGUGAAAUGCGUAGAUAUCGAGAGGAACACCUGCGGCGAAGGCGGGUAGCUGGGCCGACACUGACGCUGAUGCGCGAAAGCCAGGGGAGCGAACGGG
rnacentral:rRNA from 1 species